CGCUAGCUACAGGCUUAACACAUGCAAGUCGAGGGGCAGCAUGGUCUUAGCUUGCUAAGGCCGAUGGCGACCGGCGCACGGGUGAGUAACACGUAUCCAACCUGCCGUCUACUCUUGGACAGCCUUCUGAAAGGAAGAUUAAUACAAGAUGGCAUCAUGAGUCCGCAUGUUCACAUGAUUAAAGGUAUUCCGGUAGACGAUGGGGAUGCGUUCCAUUAGAUAGUAGGCGGGGUAACGGCCCACCUAGUCUUCGAUGGAUAGGGGUUCUGAGAGGAAGGUCCCCCACAUUGGAACUGAGACACGGUCCAAACUCCUACGGGAGGCAGCAGUGAGGAAUAUUGGUCAAUGGGCGCAGGCCUGAACCAGCCAAGUAGCGUGAAGGAUGACUGCCCUAUGGGUUGUAAACUUCUUUUAUAAAGGAAUAAAGUCGGGUAUGGAUACCCGUUUGCAUGUACUUUAUGAAUAAGGAUCGGCUAACUCCGUGCCAGCAGCCGCGGUAAUACGGAGGAUCCGAGCGUUAUCCGGAUUUAUUGGGUUUAAAGGGAGCGUAGAUGGAUGUUUAAGUCAGUUGUGAAAGUUUGCGGCUCAACCGUAAAAUUGCAGUUGAUACUGGAUAUCUUGAGUGCAGUUGAGGCAGGCGGAAUUCGUGGUGUAGCGGUGAAAUGCUUAGAUAUCACGAAGAACUCCGAUUGCGAAGGCAGCCUGCUAAGCUGCAACUGACAUUGAGGCUCGAAAGUGUGGGUAUCAAACAGGAUUAGAUACCCUGGUAGUCCACACGGUAAACGAUGAAUACUCGCUGUUUGCGAUAUACUGCAAGCGGCCAAGCGAAAGCGUUAAGUAUUCCACCUGGGGAGUACGCCGGCAACGGUGAAACUCAAAGGAAUUGACGAGGGCCCGCACAAGCGGAGGAACAUGUGGUUUAAUUCGAUGAUACGCGAGGAACCUUACCCGGGCUUAAAUUGCAGAUGAAUUACGGUGAAAGCCGUAAGCCGCAAGGCAUCUGUGAAGGUGCUGCAUGGUUGUCGUCAGCUCGUGCCGUGAGGUGUCGGCUUAAGUGCCAUAACGAGCGCAACCCUUGUUGUCAGUUACUAACAGGUUCCGCUGAGGACUCUGACAAGACUGCCAUCGUAAGAUGUGAGGAAGGUGGGGAUGACGUCAAAUCAGCACGGCCCUUACGUCCGGGGCUACACACGUGUUACAAUGGGGGGUACAGAGGGCCGCUACCACGCGAGUGGAUGCCAAUCCCAAAAACCUCUCUCAGUUCGGACUGGAGUCUGCAACCCGACUCCACGAAGCUGGAUUCGCUAGUAAUCGCGCAUCAGCCACGGCGCGGUGAAUACGUUCCCGGGCCUUGUACACACCGCCCGUCAAGCCAUGGGAGCCGGGGGUACCUGAAGUGCGUAACCGCGAGGAGCGCCCUAGGGUAAAACUGGUGACUG
rnacentral:rRNA from 1 species